rnacentral:lncRNA from 1 species
GGUAUCAUCCUGCAGCAAUAAGAAUCUUAUUUUGCGAUGUCGCCUCUCAUCCUCUCGAGUCUCCUGUCUCGUGCUCGAUCCACCUCCACCUGGAGCUCCAUCUCGCUCUGGGCUUCACCUGGCUCUUGAAGCUCCACCUCGCACUGAGCUCCCUGCCAGGUAAUAAUAUCCUCUUCUCUCCUUCCUCCCCUCCAGUACAGUCCU